GAGCCAAAGGCAGAUGUUCAACCAACUGAGCUACCCAGGCAUCCCCAUUUCCCAUGUUUUAUUAGAAGCCUACUGUGGGCCAGGCCCUGCUUUACGUCCAGGUGUUCCGGUGUGCUCCAGGCCUCGUGAGCUCACUCCUUCCUUAGCGAGCUCCUCUGUUAGAAGCAAACAUGCUGGGAGUUGCCUAAUGCUUUACCAAAAGUUAGUGGGAAACAUGACUCAUCUUGCGGGGGGGGGCAUGGGUGCAGGAAUCUGGGAGGGAAGUGGAGAUGUCGUAUUCUUUACACAGUUGCCUUGGGGGACCCCUACUGAUCCCCCCAAGCCUCCCACUGAGCGGUCACUCUGAUCCCCAGCUGGAGCUCGACCCCUACCCCUUUCCUAUUUCUUCAUUGUCCCACUCCCCACCGAGCCCCAAAUCUGAGUCUGAAAACUGCUCUCAGAGUAGUCAGUGAGGUCUCUGAACUAGACCCAGCUCUCACAGGAUGUCUCCUGUCCUGACCAAGGUAGUGCUGGUGCUAAGGCUACCCAUGUCCCCUGCAGGCCACAUGUCCCCAGGAGGCCCAGCCAGCCACUCACAUGGACAUAGGUGCUGGCAUCCUGGCAGAGAGAGGAAGGGGAUUCCAUAAGUGGACAUGGUUCCCCCUGUGGAGCAUCACAUUCCUGAACCCCUACCCAGGCUGUUCAGUCUCACGGGGACAGAACAAAGGUUCCAGAAUCAACUGGUGGCCCCAGCAGCUGGGCUCCGAGCGGGGUCGGCUCUUCCUGCUUCCUCUGCAGUCGAGGACCCAAGGACCCGUCUUCCUUUGUUUUGAGAGCGUGCUGGGCUUUUGAAGCUGCCCCUGAGGGAGGGGAAACAGGAAGCUGACAUGUCACGGAGCACGGCGGCGAGCCUGUGAGCGGCUAGGCCUCUACCUCGGACCCCCAAAGGCCAGGAGACUCCUGUGCAUCCCUCAAAGCCCAAUUCAAAAGGUGCCUCUUUUGGUUUAAACACUGGACGUCCUCCGUGCGAUUGAGAUCCUAAGGUCAAAAAGAACUGCCAAUAAAUCUUGACCUCUCGUUAGUAGGUUUGUCACGGGACGUGGUAUCAGGGUAACAAUUCUGCAACAACUGUGUAUUACGGGAAAGAGCAUCAGUGGAUAAAUGCGGUGGCGUUGCUCCAAACCCUGGUUCUUUCUGGGAAAGAAAGGAGACACAAACCGGGAAAGGCAAAGCAAGGAAGAGCCCCGUGGCGUUGGAUGGGAACUGGAUGGCUCAAUUGGAAAAAAAGC